GAGGCCACCAAGGUGCCUAAGGCAGCACCAACUCAAGAGUAUCCCAAGGUACCUGGGCUACCUGGAGCCAGCAAGCAUUCCCAGGCACCCAAAUCUACUGAAAACGUCUGUGUCUGCCAUGCUAAGGGUCUUCUGGCUCAGAUCUGGGAGAAAAGCUGAAGGCAGCUAUGGAUGCUGGAAAACUGAUGAGUGAUGAAACGGCCACGGAGCUCACUGAGAACUGGGAGAUCUCUCCAUGCAGAAAUAGUAUUCUUCUAGAUGGCUUCUCUCAGACUGUGAGGCAGGCAGAAAGGCUUGGUGACCUCAUGGAGAAGAGGAAAGAGAAGCUUGAUUCUGUGCUUGAGUUCAGCAUCCCAGGCUCUCUGCUGAUCCAGAGACUCACAGGAAGGCCCCCAGAAUGGCCAUUCAUACACAAGAAGUUCAAUCCCCUAAAGGCGUCCAUGAAAGAUGGUAUCACAGAGGAACCCUUGAUCUGCCAAUCAGAUGAUAAUAAAAAGGCCUUGAAAAUCCACCCUGACACCUAUCACACUGACCACCCAUUGGUGGAAUAAGACAGUAAAGGGGCUCCACUCUGCCAUCCAUGCAUCCCAGACCCGUGAUGUCCUGUUUGCAGCA
rnacentral:lncRNA from 1 species